CCCCAGCAAGUUCGAGGGCAGCCAGGAUAUUUUGCUGUUUGCCUCGAGAGAGCUCACUGGCCAGGUGUGUGGGAACACAGUCGGUGCAGGCUCAGGAAACCCCAGAGAGGCCUCUGGCCCUUUGACCAAAGGAACAGAAAGAGCUUCCCAGUCGACGUGGCCGAUGAGGGGUCAACCCAUUCACCUCUCCAAGGGAGGCGUCGGAUCACCAACCCCCUGCCCGUGAGGCCCAGUGCAGGCUCCAGCUGCACCAGGAAGCUUGGGGUACCUCUCCUGUUUCAACGAGGACCUCAGGGACCCACUCGUGUGGCCGCAGGAAAUUCCAGUCUCCAUUCGAGUUGCAAGUGGACUCUAGGAACUCCUCUCCAGUCGGUGUCGGGUCCUACGUCCUCAUCUGGAGCUGAAGCCGGAACCUCAAGAUUCCUCUCCAGUGCUGACAGUGUUCUCGGUGUUCCUAUGGAGCUUCAACAGUGGAGUCAGGCCUCGUUUCGUGUGGAGACAUGAUGCAGAUUCGCCAAUUUGAAUCCUGAACAGGCUGAUUCGUCAUGUCGCAGUCCCCUAGGCACCUGGUUCCUCUGCCGCCGCCGCCCGGAACAGCCGCACGCCGGAAGCCUCGGGCAGGACCAGCCUGACUGACGGGACCCAGUGCGUCGCACUCGCAGCUGGUAGCAGGGCCAGCAUCCGUCUGCAAAACUAUGGGAUAGAGGGUUGAUGGGGAAAGGAGAUGUAUGGAAACUGUAUACUAUUUGCUCAAAUUUUUGUCUCACUUGGUCGCCGCUGAGCCCAGGCCGGUUCAGCAGAAGGUGGGGUGAGGGCCGCUGCGCCUGCCGGCAGGAGAGGCAAGAUAAACAUCAAGAUCCCGGCAGGACUGACAGAGCUGCUACAGCUCAAACUCCGACCAGAAAAUGAAUCUAUUUACUCUAUUUUGGCUUAUCUACCCUCUCUUUAUGUUUUUCUUUUCAUCAAUGAUUCCAGAAAUGUACCUAAUGUAGUGACUUGUGAACAAUGUAUGAUUUUAUCUUGUUUAACUCCUCAG
ensembl:lncRNA